rnacentral:rRNA from 1 species
GAUGAACGCUAGCGGCGGGCUUAAUACAUGCAAGUCGAGCGAAUCAUUAGGAGCUUGCUCCUGGUGGUUAGCGGCGGACGGGUGAGUAACACGUGGGCAACCUGCCUGUAAGACUGGGAUAACACCGGGAAACCGGUGCUAAUACCGGAUAAUCCUUUUCCUCUCAUGAGGAAAAGCUGAAAGUCGGUUUCGGCUGACACUUACAGAUGGGCCCGCGGCGCAUUAGCUAGUUGGUGAGGUAACGGCUCACCAAGGCGACGAUGCGUAGCCGACCUGAGAGGGUGUUCGGCCACACUGGGACUGGGACACGGCCCAGACUCCGACGGGAGGCAGCAGUAGGGAAUCUUCCACAAUGGACGAAAGUCUGAUGGAGCAACGCCGCGUGAGCGAUGAAGGCCUUCGGGUCGUAAAGCUCUGUUGUUAGGGAAGAACAAGUAUCGGAGUAACUGCCGGUACCUUGACGGUACCUAACCAGAAAGCCACGGCUAACUACGUGCCAGCAGCCGCCGUAAGAC